CCCUGUUGAGCUUGACUCUAGUCUGGCAAUGUAAGGAGACAUAAGAGGUGUAGAAUAAGUGGGAGAUAGUUAACUUGUUUAAUUAUCGUCAAUGAAAUACCACUACUCUUAUUGUUUCCUUACUUACUUGAUUAAAUGGAACAUGUAUUAUUUACUUAGCCAUUAUAUGGAUAUAUUUAUAUAUUUUAUGGUAUUUUGUGUUGAUGCAAGCUUAUUGUACAAAGUAUCAAGAGUUUGUUAUACACACCAAACAUAAUAUAAAGAAUUAAUGUUUAUAUAUGGUAAUUUUCGUAAGAAUUUUAUGAUAUAUUUAUGUUAUAGUAAUUAUUUAUGGUAUAACUAAUAUGACUCAGAUAUGAUCCAAUUCAAGGACAAUGUCAGGUUGGGAGUUUGACUGGGGCGGUACAUCUCUCAAAUAAUAACGGAGGUGUCCCAAGGCCAGCUCAGUGCGGACAGAAACCACACAUAGAGCAAAAGGGCAAAUGCUGACUUGAUCUCGAUGUUCAGUACACAUAGAGACAGCAAAAGCUCGGCCUAUCGAUCCUUUUGGUUUAAGGAGUUUUUAACANGNGGUGUCAGAAAANUACCACAGGGNNNNNNNNNNNNNNNNNNNNNNNNNNNNNNNNNNNNNNNNNUUUUUGAUCCUUCGAUGUCGGCUCUUCCUAUCAUUGUGAAGCAAAAUUCGCCAAGCGUUGGAUUGUUCACCCAUUCAAGGGAACGUGAGCUGGGUUUAGACCGUCGUGAGACAGGUUAGUUUUACCCUASUGAUGACAAAAAUUGUUGCGACAGCAUUCCUGCGUAGUACGAGAGGAACCGCAGGUACGGACCAAUGGCACAAUACUUGUUCGAGAGAACAUUGGUAUGACGCUACGUCCGUUGGAUUAUGCCUGAACGCCUCUAAGGUCGUAUCCGUGCUGGACUGCAAUAAUAAUAAUGGGGCGAUUUGUAUUGUAUAGCAAUAAACCAUUUAAAGUUAUUAACAUUAGUUAAUAAUGACAAUGGAUAAUGUGAUGCUAAUGUGUUUUAUAAUAUAGUUAUGUUGGGUGGAUUUAAAUAAUCGCCUACGUAAAAGUAACUAAUUAUUUAACUAAACAUUAUUAAAUACGAUGACAAUGCCUAGAAUCAAUUGUAAACGACUUUGGUAACGNGCAA
rnacentral:rRNA from 1 species